UUAAUCAGCAUGACACCGUUUUGAGGCAGGAAUAAGCACCAUCCUUCUUUCCAGGGGACAGCUAUGCUCAGCACUGUCUAAUUAACACAAUAACUCACUUGGUUGCUCAAGACCAUAUCUGAAUAGCAGCUACCCUCGAGAUGGUAAGAUGACAGAUGUCUGGCUUUCUUGCAAUGUGGAGUAAGCAACUUUGAUCAGAAGGAGGCAUCAGGCAUGCCACAGAAGGGAAAGUACUCAGGAAGACUAAACACAGCCUCUACGACCAUAAGACGAUGGGUGCAAUAUACAAGGACC
rnacentral:lncRNA from 1 species